UGGGGAAUAUUGCACAAUGGGCGCAAGCCUGAUGCAGCCAUGCCGCGUGUGUGAAGAAGGCCUUCGGGUUGUAAAGCACUUUCAGCGGGGAGGAAGGCGGUGAGGUUAAUAACCUCAUCGAUUGACGUUACCGACAGAAGAAGCACCGGCUAACUCCGUGCCAGCAGCCGCGGUAAUACGGAGGGUGCAAGCGUUAAUCGGAAUUACUGGGCGUAAAGCGCACGCAGGCGGUUGAUUGAGUCAGAUGUGAAAUCCCCGGGCUUAACCCGGGAAUUGCAUCUGAUACUGGUCAGCUAGAGUCUUGUAGAGGGGGGUAGAAUUCCAUGUGUAGCGGUGAAAUGCGUAGAGAUGUGGAGGAAUACCGGUGGCGAAGGCGGCCCCCUGGACAAAGACUGACGCUCAGGUGCGAAAGCGUGGGGAGCAAACAGG
rnacentral:rRNA from 1 species